rnacentral:rRNA from 1 species
AGUGAACGCUGGCGGUAGGCCUAACACAUGCAAGUCGAACGGCAGCACAGUAAGAGCUUGCUCUUACGGGUGGCGAGUGGCGGACGGGUGAGGAAUACAUCGGCAUCUACUUUUUCGUGGGUGAUUACGUAGGACCACUUACGCUACUACCUCACACGACCUACGGCUGAAAGCAGCGGAUCUUCGCGCCUUUCCCGUCUGUUUGAGCCGAUGUCGCAUUAGCUAGUUGGCGGGGUAAAGGCCCACCAAGGCGACGAUACGUAGCUGAUCUGAGAGGAUGAUCAGCCACACUGGAACUGAGACACGGUCCAGACUCCUACGGGAGGCAGCAGUAGGGAAUAUUGGGCAAUGGGCGAAAGCCUGACGGAGCAAUACCGCGUGAGUGAAGAAGGUCUUCGGGUUGUAAAGCUCUGUUGUUGGGAAAGAAAAGAAGCAGGUGAAAACACCGAUGUUUUGACGGUACCCAAAGAAUAAGCACCGGCUAACUACGUG